rnacentral:rRNA from 1 species
UGAGUAACCUGCCCUUUACUCUGGGAUAACUCCGGGGAAACCGGGGCUAAUACUGGAUAUGACUCGAACAGGCAUCUGUUUCGGGUGGAAAGAUUUAUUGGUGGAGGAUGGACUCGCGGCCUAUCAGCUUGUUGGUGAGGUAACGGCUCACCAAGGCAACGAUGCGUAGCCGACUGAGAGGGUGAUCGGCCACAUUGGAACUGAGACACGGUCCAGACCUCCGUACGGGNGCA